UUUCUUGAUUCAUUAACAAUGAAGCAAAUAUACAACAAAAUUGGUGUUCGGUGGGUUACAUUUAACGCUAAUUAAUUGACCAAUUCAUUUUGUUCAAGAUUAACUACUUUUAAGUACUAGCAUGGAUUAUAUUUUGACAAAAAAAAGGUUUCGACAAAAAAAACCGUCGCAGUGUUGUGACGUCAAUAUUGCUGGUAUUUGCGGACGUAUUUUUAUCAAAUAUUUCGUGAAUAUUAUAUAAAUAUACUGUUUUAUCUUAGCUGUUUUCUACAUGACUGGCUUGUUUUCCUGCUAUAUGAUUACUUUGAUUGUUUUUGCCUCAAUUUUCGUCUCGUACAUCGAUACGAAAUCCUACUUAGCCCACUUAAGCCCCCUUUAUUUAAACAGUUCAACGACUUGAGGUAAAUGGCGGCAAAUAUUACUGAUUGUGUAAAAUUAAUCUCAUUUUCAAAAUAUAUUAUAAAUCCUUCAACGUCUUCAAAAUAUACCAGCAACUGCGCUAUCCAACACUAAGUACAAAAACAAUUAUUCUUUGCCGUGAUAAGUAUGUACUGGAAAUAUUCAGAAACAUAAUUAGUUUAUGUUGAGGAACGUAUAACAAGUCCAUCGCUAAGCGAAGAACCAUCGCCAAAAGAGAACAAGAAGAGAAUGGAAGAGACGAAAAUUUGUAUAAACACAUAUGUAUUCUUACCGCCGCUGCGACGGAAUUUUUCAUUACCAAAUAGACAUUGAACUGUACGAGAACAAAAUAAAUACAGUCCACUAAAAUCAAAUCCGUCGAGCAUAUUAUUCGCGAACAGUUUACAUAAAAAACAAAAUUUUUAAGCAAGAGAAGUCCUAUCGCUCCUUGGGCAGAUCUUGAAUAUAUUUCUGCGCGAUACAUUGAGAAGCUUUUAACGCACCUAAAGGCUAAGGAGAAUGUGUACAUAUGUGCUCUCCAGCUACUUGUCGUCCAACGAGUCUCUAUAACUGGCUCCGUUCUAAACCAUCUCCUGCAAUUAUCUUGCAGAACCAUCAGAUUCCUGCAGUCGGAAGACUGUCCGUCAAUCAAACUCGGAGGAAUACGGCUGAUGAAGUCCGUGGCUUGCUUCAGUAUGGGUCUGGCAUUCAUGAGAAUCGAAUAACGAUCACACUCACACAUUCACAUCAAUGUGGAUGACAAUGAGCUGUUGCCCAAGAUCUCGGCCAAAUUGGAUCUGCUUUCGUACGUUCUGCAACAGACGCAUGUGCACGGCUUUGUGAAAAUGGCCGAACUGCAUCAUAUACUUUGGAAGAAGCUGGCGAUCGUGCCCCCAAGGAGAUCAUCAUCCAGCAGGAACGCGUGACGUUUUAUAAUCAGUUAAUCCUCUUCCAUAUGCUGCCGCUACUGUUCGCCAUUAAAUAUGCCCACAGGCAGGCGGACGAGGCUUCUCGCACUGAACUGUUCGACGCUUACGUUCUGAAAUUAAUGGAAAUGUCGUGUGAGCAGAUAUUGGCAGAUGGUCUGUUCACGCCAGAGUUAGCCAACAAGUGGACCAGGCGUAAAAGCUCGUGCAGCUGGCUAUGGAGCAUUUCCCAUCGCCGAACAUGGCGUUGCUGGUAGUCAAUCUGCAGGGCUCUGCCUUGGUUUGCCUGGGUCCCACUAUUGUCAAGCGCAUGCAUGAUACCAAUGCAUUUCGGCCAAUGAAAAUAGUCAAAAAUGAAAUGAGAAAAUUAUUGGACGAAAAAUCGUCAUCGACCUGCACCCUAACAAUAGAACGGAGCUGCGAACGUUUUCCGGAAAUAUACCAAAUAGUAUGGUAUAUAUAUUUACUUUACGGAAAAAUACUAUAAAAUAUUACCGCGGCCACACUAUCCUAAACUCUUCCCGAAAAACAAUGAAAAGAAAUGUGUUACACUUGGCUUGUUUCCCAGAGGGCAACGCCGGCUAGCUGUGUGAAUAGGGUUUGGGGGUUUUUACGUGGUGCAUGAGACCAAAUGUGUGGCACGCACUGGAAGGCGAUGCAACGAACGUGCGAUGUGGCUAGGAUCGCCCUGCCAGCUAAAUCGUCGUCCGCCCCCAUCACAUGUCUCGCGCUUCUUGGUUCACACACGCGCAACUGGCACAAACUCACUCAGGUUCACGUUGGACAGUCUUCUUCUCUGCAGUCGACUUUCUCGAACUCCAGUGUUCCUCUCCAGAAACCUUCUGGCCCGGUUCUGGUGGCUAUAUCCCUUCCGGCUUAACGGCAGUAAAUGAAAAUAUUUGCAUCUACUAGAGCUGGUCGACACCAACGGAAAUUUUUAGGGACCCUCGCAAAUCAGCAGUAUAAUCUAUACGAUAUUAAUAUAUAUGUAUAAGUACGAGUAUAUACAAGUUAUUUUAGGGUGGCUUAUAUUUUCUUGUUUUAAUAUUCAUUGGUUGUUUUAGUUAUAUUUUAUAUAGUUAUAUAUAUAUAUAUAUAUAUAUGUUUUUUUUUUGUUAGCCCGUGCUUGAUUUAUAUUAACAUUUGCGGUGUGUAUGAAGUCAAAAAUGUAUUUGUAGAAUUCGAUAGGUUCGUUCUUAAAGAAUCGGUAGAUAUCGGUAUCGCGACAUUUGAAAAUCAGAUGUGAAGAAUUUUCUCUUCAUAAGUUACUUUCAUUCUAGCCAGCGAAACUUGACUAUUCCAAGACCACUUAGAACCCAAUUGAUUUGUAUAAAUCAAUAAACCAAUUUUAUAAACGGCUAAUACGAAUGUUUGCGGAAGUGGCAAAGGUAAUAGCCCUAUGAAUGGCUAUUAGCUCAGCUGACAGUGACGAUAACUUUUUACAUGUCUUGCUUCAUUAUAAAGCACAGCCGAUACAAAUUUGACUUGAACUAAUGCCCAGAAGAAAGCGUUUUCGACCUCAUAAAGUAUAUAUAUAUAUAUAUAUAUAUACAUAUAUGUGUGUGUAUAUAUAUAUUGUCGAUCACCAGGGUGCCGAAUCUAUAUAAGCUCAAAUUAUUAAUAUGGCGAGAAGGAACAAAUCAGUUUGUAGUGGCUACACAACGCCGUCCACGCGCUUACUUUUUUUCUGUCUAUCUCUCAAACACUCAUCGAGUGUCAGGUAUAAGUGGUGGUAGUAAGUGGUAAGUGGUAAGUGGUAGAGUCGCGGUCGCAGCUGCGACUCACAACGUUACCUCGUCUUGUUGUGAAUCUGUAAUUUUCUUAUUUAAUAUAAGCAACUACAUAUUAUAUUCACUUAUUGUUCUAUAGUAUAUGAAAAAAGGUUCAAACACACUAGUCCAAAUGGUGAUGGCAGGAAUUGGAGAGAUCUGAGGUCGCUCCGCGGCCGGCGCGCAUCACCACCCUGAAUAACUCUUCUACAUAUAUUUAUGUACAUAUGUAUUAGUUUAUACACCUGUAGAUAUUAAAUGUUUUUUCCUGUGGCAUACAUAAUUUGAAUAUAUGAGAUACCGGAAUGAUUAAUGUACAGAAUUAUCAUACUUACUAUAAUGAUGACUCGUUCUCUCUCUCUCUUCUUUGUUCAGUGUGGCGCACUCUGGCGGAUUGAAAGAGGGAGAGAGAGAGAGCUCUAGGGUUCUGUGGUUCUGCAGUGGCAGAGAAGCAAUAGAAUUGUACGACAACUCUUCGUGUUGGUGAUUCUGAAAAUAACUACCUCCAAGCAUAUGUUCUCUGUCCUCUCAGUCUAGUUUU